rnacentral:rRNA from 1 species
AGGGUUUGAUUAUGGCUCAGGACGAACGCUGGCGGCGUGCCUAAUACAUGCAAGUUGAGCGAUGAAGAUUGGUGCUUGCACCAAUUUGAAGAGCAGCGAACGGGUGAGUAACGCGUGGGGAAUCUGCCUUUGAGCGGGGGACAACAUUUGGAAACGAAUGCUAAUACCGCAUAAUAACUUUAAACAUAAGUUUUAAGUUUGAAAGAUGCAAUUGCAUCACUCAAAGAUGAUCCCGCGUUGUAUUAGCUAGUUGGUGAGGUAAAGGCUCACCAAGGCGAUGAUACAUAGCCGACCUGAGAGGGUGAUCGGCCACAUUGGGACUGAGACACGGCCCAA